rnacentral:ncRNA from 2 species
AAACAAUCAAAAGCGCCUGAGCUGGGAAAAUCUUAAUCCCAGCAGACGAGGUGGAGGUUCAUCGACAAUUCGGCGGAUGCCUCCCGACCGCAAUGCCCGGUUGUCACGCUUUCCAGCAAAACACUUGAGUGAUCAGGUGAAACAGAGGGGAAAGCCGGCAUAUUC